GGAUCAACAGGUCGAUUCAACUGACAAUCCAUUUUGUCUAGUUAUGGAAGAUCCAAUUGACAGAACUGACUAUUUACAUGGAGCCAAUGAUGAUGGUCAAGUUCGAAUUCCAUGAUCCUUUCUAUCAUCCCAUCAGAUAUCCAAUUAAUGAAACUCCUCAAAUUGAUGAUCGAUCAUACUAUGGUCAACAACCAAGAAUCAUGGGAUCAUGCAUGCAUUCUGUUUGUUCAUGUUAUUUUUUAAUGUCAAAUACAUUCAACAUCAUGUAUUGAUUAUAAGGAUCCAUAUAAAUG
rnacentral:lncRNA from 1 species